rnacentral:rRNA from 1 species
UACGUAGGGGGCAAGCGUUGUCCGGAUUUACUGGGCGUAAAGCGCGCGUAGGUGGAAGGUCAAGUCCGGCUUGAAAGCCCCCGGCUCAACCGGGGAGAGUGGCUGGAAACUGGCUUUCUUGAGGGCGAGAGAGGAGGGUGGAAUUCCUGGUGUAGCGGUGAAAUGCGUAGAGAUCAGGAGGAGCACCGGUGGCGAAGGCGGGUCUCUGGGCCGAUACUGACGCUGAGGAGCGAAAGCGUGGGGAGCGAACAGG